GAGCUGCAAAGAGCAGAAGCUGCAGAAGUCAAUGAAGAAGACAAAUUUAAAUUGCCUCCACACAAGCCAUUCUUCAAGAAGCCGGCUCCACCUCAUAUCUUUCCUCCAAAGCCCUUUUUCAAGCCACUCCCUCCACCAGCUCCAGUCUAUAAGAUUCCUCCCUACAAAAAGGGUCAUCCACCGGUUCCGGUUGUGGAAGAAAAGCCAUUUCUGAAGAAGCCAAUUUUCCAUCCACUUCCAAAAUUCAAGAAGCCACUUCUUCCGCCAAUUCCAGUUUACAAGAAGCCACUUCCUCCGCCAAUUCCAGUUUACAAGAAGCCACUUCCUCCGCCAAUUCCAGUUUACAAGAAGCCACUUCCUCCACCAAUUCCAGUUUACAAGAAGCCGUUUCCCCAUCCAAUCUUCAAGAAGCCGAUUCCAAAAUUCAAGAAGCCAUUUCCUCCGCAUCCAUUCCUUGGGAAGCCAUUUCCUCCGCAUCCAUUCCUUGGGAAGCCGUUACCUCCCACUGUUCCCUAAACUAGACUAGCUACUUUUCCUUCCAAAUAAGAGAUGAGUAGCAUAUAAAUAGCUAUAGAAUAAAGUCCUACAUGGAGAGAGAAAUGAGGUUGUUGUAACUUUAUUAUCUUGAAAUUGUGGGUUGUGUUGUUGUACUUGUUUGAUUCUGCUGUUAUGCAGCUACCUUGUAUUACGACCUUUGCAUUUAUAAAUUACUGGAAAAAAAAAAAUUUCUUCACUCCAAAGAAUCAACUUCAGCCCUUCAAAAAUCCUUAUGAAUGAGAUCAUUAGGACAUUGAUAUCGAUAAAUUUUCAGGCCCAACAUGGUCAACAAUGUUCGUCUUAAUCACCUAUAUAUUAUAAAAGGCAUCGGUGAUAUUAUGUGGAAUUCUAUUCUCCAACAGAUAUUUCAUGAACUAAACUCGAAUAUGGCAAAUCAAAAGAACUAAAAACCUGCACAAAUUUUCAAAGAACCAUUAUAUAUAACACCAAAUUUUUAAUGGUGAGAGUGUAGAAACCUAUAAUUCUGGAAGGCAUUUUCUUGUUGUGCAAGAUUCGUUGAGACGGGUCAACAACCUAUACCGUCCCAAAACUUGCAUCUUAAUUAUUAAGACAUGUUGAGUAUUAUUGCAAAAGACCUUGAUAUGAUUAGGAAUGGAACUAUUUAUAUUGUAAUUUGUUUGAUCAAUUCUUGUACUGUUCAACAAUAAGAAAUUCCGCUUCAUGCUUAUUAAAAUUCUUUCUGCACUGCUCAAGCAUUUGAGACACCUUUAAACACAGGUGCAAGCUUGAGUGUCUGGUGCAAUGUAUACAAAAUAAUCUAAAUUAUCAUCUACUAUUAAACUGGAAUCCACCAAGAAUUAAGAAAACCUCAAAAUUUAUAAUUGAGUAAUAAUACGAAUGAUUACAACCAUAGCACCUUAUAUGGACUUUCUAGGAGUACGAAUAGGAAAUGAAUUAAACAAAUAAUAAAAGCUUAAAUCCCGUUUUGUGUUAGUAAUUUGAUAAAAAAUGCCCAUACGUCAGGGCAAAGCGCUCAGUGUUGUUUGCCUCACCGUUCAAAACGAUUGAUCUUGAGCACAAAUCAGAUAUUGGAGUCCAAAUCUACGAUGCUCGAGACUUGAUGCUGAUUUUAUGCCUUUCCUACUGUUCUUCAAUCUUUUUGGUCAUAUUUUCAUAACAAUAUUAUUGUCUUGUUACUUGUAAGAUAUUGUAAGGGCAUCUUACCUUUUUUUUACCCAAUUUCUUUACCAGGGAAAAGAUUAAAUUGGAAUACAAUCAAUUUUCAAAUGAAAUUUGUCAAGAUUGGACCCCAUAACAUUAUUAUUUCUCAACUAAAUGGUGUAUAAUAGCAAUCAUAUGUUACUUUACAUUCCUCAACUGGCAUUUAUGCCACCGAUUUUUCUGUUCCCAGACAAGCACAUGUGACAUGCCCUUGAACAUUUGGGAGAGCAACACUUUGAAAGCUUAGAGUUAUUAAUGCAGUUCAACAUUAAUUAGUACUCUACUAAACGCUUCACGGGGACCAAACUUCGAAGUUGAUCGUAUAAGUCAAAAGUACAACUUUAAUGUACUAAAAUGACUUCCUACUGACAUUCUCAUGCUUACCAUUUAACCAAAAGUAAAAGACAUUCUCAUGAUCACCUGUCAAACUAUAUACAAAUAUACAUUUCAAGGAUGUGUAUUUCACAUACGCUACACUACAAUACGUUCUUCAGCGGUAAUAUAUUCGUCGUUAAAUGAUAUUUCUCGCUAAAUUAUCAUUUUGUAGUAGCGGCAACAUGUUAUGCAUAAGUAAUUUUCUCUAUCUAAUUCAAGUAAAAAACUCAUUCUUGUGUUUGGAAAAAUGAAUAAACGGUUACAACAAACAACAACAACAACAAAGCCUUUUCCCACUAAGUGGGGUCGGCUAUAUGAAUCCUAGAACGCCAUUGCGCUCGGUUUUGUGUCAUGUCCUCCGUUAGAUCCAAGUACUCAAGUCUUUUCCUAGGGUCUAUUCCAAAGUUUUCCUGGGUCUUCCUCAAUCCCUUCGGCCCUGAACCUCUGUCCCGUAAUCACAUUUUCGAACCGGAGCGCCAGUAGGCCUUCUUUGCACAUGUCUAAACCACCGGAACCGAUUUUCUCUCAUAUUUCCUUCAAUUUUGGCUACUCCUACUUUACCUCGGAUAUCCUCAUUCUCAAUCUUAUCCUUUCUCGUGUGCCCAUACAUCCCACGAAGCAUCCUCAUCUCCGCUACACCCAUUUUGUGUACGUGUUGAUGCUUCACCGCCCAACAUUCUGUGCCAUACAACAUCGCGGCCUUAUUGCCGUCCUAUAAAAAUUUCCCUUGAGCUUCAGUGGCCUACGACGGUCACACAAACACGCCGGAUGCACUCUUACACUUCAUCCAUCCAGCUUGUAUUCUAUGGUUGAGAUCUCCAUCUAAGUUCUCCGUUCUCUUGCAAGAUAGAUCCUAGGUAGCGAAAACGGUCACUUUUUGUGAUCUUCGCUAGAUUGCUCCGGUCAUUAGUGUGGAUAAGUAUAUAAAAUGGAUAGAGAUAGGAAAGCAAACACAAGAUGUACGUGGUUCACCCAGAUUGGCUACGUCCACGGAAUAGAAGAGUUCUCAUUAAUUGUGAAGGGUUUACACAAGUACAUAGGUUCAAGCUCUCCUUUAGUGAGUACAAGUGAAUGAUUUAGUACAAAUGACAUUAGGAAAUAUUGUGGGAGAAUGAUCUCGUAACCACGAAACUUCUAAGUACCGGAGUGUGGUAUCGUCUUGACUUGCCUUAUCUGUCUCAUAGGUAGAUGUGGCAUCUUCUCUGGAAGUACUCUUCCUCCAUCCAGGGGUGGUAUCUGUAACUGGUGGAGAUGCACAAGGUAAUGUAUCAAUUUCACUUGAAGCUUACUUGUAGUUUCAGGCUUGGUCAAGCGCGAUACAAACCAUGUAGUAGGAGUCCCCCAAGUCGCCGAGCUAGGGGAUCUGCUGAAAGAGGUGACAGACAAGGUAAGCAAUCAGAGCUCCGGCUGAUUGUUCACAUUUCUCCCUAUCUUGCAGGCAGCAUGAAGGAUAAAGAGAAGAAAAAUGAGAAGAUGAAAGAGAUGAUAUGGGAUACUUUUGCUUUUGAAGAAGUAACUUUCCACAGGCUUAUUCUUGAACUGGGCUGGAGGGUUUUCUGGUUUCCUCCAGAGUAUAAGGCCGACUGAAGAAUUUGAGGGUCAAAACAAGUCCAUCAAAUCUAGAGUACGUUCGACCCUGCUGAUGAUAUGGGAUACUUUUGCUUUUGACAGAGUAGUGGAUGUAUCGGCACGUGUGCUGUUACGCUUGUCUCCACAUGCUUCCUUGUAUCCUUCUCACUUGCCCUAUCUGUUCCUCAGGCAGAUGCGAUGCGGUAUCUUCCCUGGAAGCAUAAGAUGUUGAAGAUGAGUACUCGAGAGCAAUGCCAGGUAAGUAAUCAGGUAAGGGGUUCCAGGCAGUCAGUUCCUGGCUGGAAGCUUGAUUCCAAGUGCUGACUGAUUGCUCUCUUUCUCCUUGUCUUGCAGGUAAGAACAAGGCCAAAGGAAAAGACAGGGAAAAAAGCAUGAUAUGGGAUACUCUUGCUUUUAACCCUGAUGAUAUGAGAUAUUCUUGCUCUAGUAUAGCUUGUUUACAGAGGUAUUAUCGGGGGGAAAGAAAGCUGAAUAUUUCGAAAGGCUUCGUUGGGAGUGCCCUCUCAGAUAUGAGGAAGGGUUGAGCAUUUUUGCAGGUCUGCCUGUCCGUUGGGGAUGGAGGUCGACAUAUAUAGGAGUCUCCCUAACAUCAAGUAAUAAUGCUAUUCCUUUACCCUGCUUGGUCAUAGCACGGUAGUGGGAGCUGCCAGCUUCACAUGUUUUAACUCUGUCAGAGCACUUUGAAAAAGUGGUCUGUGGUAUCUGGAAAGCUGAUGUUGCGUGUGAAGAUUACAGACAAGCUUUAUCCAAGGAGAUCCAGCUCUUGAAGUUGGGAAAGUGGUGCCUCUUCGGUUUUUGAACAAGCAAUCCUGUCGGGGAUCUGGCUCUCGAGAUUCGGAGAACGAUGCCUCUUCGAUUUUUGAGAAAGCAAUCUUGCUGGGGGUCUGGCUCUCGAGAUUCGGAGAGCGGUGUCUCUUCGAUUUUUGAGAAAGUAAUCAUGUUGGGAGUCUGGCUCUCGAGAUUCGGAGGGCGGUGCCUCUUCGAUUUUGGAGCAAGCAAUCUUGUUGGGAGUGUUUUCUCGAAUGUGAGUAAAGGUUGGGCAUGUUUGCUAGUCUACCUUGCCACGAAGCACAGAGGUUGACACACACAGGGACUUUCCAAUUAUCCAGCAGUGGUACUGUUCCUUUACCCUCUCUUCGAUUUUUUAGAAAGUAAUCAUGUUGGGAGUCUGGCUCUCGAGAUUCGGAGGACGGUGCCUCUUCGAUUUUGGAGCAAGCAAUCUUGUUUGGGAGUGUUUUCUCGAAUGUGAGUAAAGGUUGGGCAUGUUUGCUAGUCUACGGUUGAGGUUGACACACAGGGACUUUCCAAUUAUCCAGCAGUGGUACUGUUCCUUUACCCUUGUGGGUAAUAAUAUGGUAGCUAGACCUUCAAAAUUUAUGUGUCUAAACUUUGUUAGUGUUGUUUUUCUUUGCUAUUCUUUUUACCCUUCUUGGUCAGAGCGAUGUAGUGGGAGCUGCAAGCUUCACGUGUCUCAACUUUGUCAGAGAACUUUGGCAAAGUUAUCUGUGGUACCCAUGAGCUACUGUUGCGUGUGGGAAGUGGGUGAUUGAACAGUAAGAUUCAUGUGCUUUCUACUUCGCCAGAAAUCUUCGACAGAAUGCCCAUAAUUUCCGCAAAGCUGAGUGUGCGUGUGACAGGUGCUGACAAGGCUGGAAAAGUAGGUGCCUCUUCGAUUUCUGAGAUCGGCCCUCGUGGUCUCUGAGCAGCCCAGCUUUUGAGAAAGCAAGCCUCUUCGAUUUCUGAGAUCGGCCUUCGUGGUCUUUGAGCAGCCCAGCUUUUGAGAAAGCAAACGCCUCUUCGAUUUCUGAGAUCGACCCUCGUGGUCUCUGAGCAGCCCAGCUUUUGAGAAAGCAAACGCCUCUUCGAUUUCUGAGCAGGCGCCUCUUCGAUUUCUGAAGCUUCGUCGAGUGCAGAUUUUUAUAGGGGCUGACAUUAAGUUCCAAAGCACACUUGAAUAUCCACCAGUAGAAGCUCCAUUCUUGCACUUCUAAGAUCUUGAUUUGUCCGACCUCUUCUCUCUUUCAACACCUUUGAAAAUGUCUGGCCCCUCCGACCGUCGUUUUGACUUGAACCUUGUUGAAGAGGCAGCCCCGCCUUCUCCAGACAACAUAUGGCGCCCAUCCUUCGUCUCCCCUACUGGUCCUCUUACCGUUGGGGAUUCCGUGAUGAAGAAUGAUAUGACCGCUGCGGUAGGUGGCCAGGAACCUUCUCACUCCCAAAGAUAACAGACUACUUUCCAAACGGUCUGAUGAGUUGGCUGUUAAGGAUUCUCUGGCUCUCAGUGUUCAGUGUGCAGGUUCUGUGUCUAAUAUGGCCCAACGCCUAUUUGCUCGAACCCGCCAAGUUGAAUCAUUGGCGGCUGAAGUGAUGAGUCUCAAACAGGAGAUUAGAGGGCUCAAGCAUGAGAAUAAACAGUUGCACCGCUCGCACAUGACUAUGCUACAAACAUGAAGAGGAAGCUUGACCAGAUGAAGGAAUCUGAUGGUCAGGUUUUACUUGAUCAUCAGAGAUUUGUGGGUUUGUUCCAAAGGCAUUUAUUGCCUUCGUCUUCUGGGGCUGUGUACCGCGUAAUGAAGCUCCAAAUGAUCAACCUCUGAUGCCUCCUCCUUCUAGGGUUCUGUCCAGUACUGAGGCUCCGAAUGAUCCCCCUCCGGUGCCUUCUCUUUCUGGGGCUCUACCGACUGCUGAGACUUCUCCUAAGCAACCUUUGUGAAGGCUCCCUCUUGUUUGUUUAUUUUGACUCAAGUAUAUGUACAUAUUUGUAACUUAUCGGGGAUAUCAAUAAAUAAGCUUUCCUUCAUUUCAACGUAUUGUGUUUAAAUACACCAAAGCCUUCUUCGCUAAGUUCUUUGAAUUUUCUUUUGUUGAAGCUUGUAUGUUGAAGCUUUGUGAGUGGAGCAUGUAGGUUGAGGUAGUGUUCCCUUAAUUUCCCGAGUGAGGAAAACUUCUCGGUUGGAGACUUGGAAAAUCCAAGUCACUGAGUGGGAUCGGCUAUAUGAAUCUUAGAACGCCAUUGUGUUCUGUCCUGUGUCAUGUCCUCCGUUAGAUCCAAGUACUCUAAGUCUUUUCUUAGGGUCUCUUCCAAAGUUUUCCUAGGUCUUCCUCUACCCCUUCGGCCCUGAACCUCUGUCCCAUAGUCGCAUCUUCUAAUCGGAGCGUCAGUAGGCCUUCUUUGCACAUGUCCAAACCACCGUAACCGAUUUUCUCUCAUCUUUCCUUCAAUUUCGGCUACUCCUACUUUACCCCGGAUAUCCUCAUUCCUAAUCUUAUCCUUUCUCGUGUGCCCACACAUCCAACAACGAAGCAUCCUCAUCUCCCGCUACACCCAUUUUGUGUACGUGUUGAUGCUUCACCGCCCAACAUUCUGUGCCAUACAGCAUCGCCGGCCUUAUUGCCGUCCUAUAAAAUUUUCCCUUGAGCUUCAGUGGCAUACGGCGGUCACACAACACGCCGGAUGCACUCUUCCACUUCAUCCAUCCAGCUUGUAUUCUAUGGUUGAGAUCUCCAUCUAAUUCUCCGUUCUUUUGCAAGAUAGAUCCUAGGUAACGAAAACGGUCGCUCUUUGGUAUUUCUUGAUCUCCGAUCCUCACCCCUAACUCGUUUUGGCCUCCAUUUGCACUGAACUUGCACUCCAUAUAUUCUGUCUUUGAUCGGCUUAGGCGAAGACCUUUAGAUUCCAACACUUCUCUCCAAAGGUUAAGCUUUGCAUUUACCCCUUCCUGAGUUUCAUCUAUCAACACUAUAUAUCGUCUGCGAAAAGCAUACACCAAGGAAUAUCAUCUUGAAUAUGUCCUGUUAACUCAUCCAUUACCAACGCAAAAAGGUAAGGACUUAAGGAUGAGCCUUGAUGUAAUCCUACAGUUAUGGGAAAGCUUUCGGUUUGUCCUUCAUGAGUUCUUACGGCAGUCUUUGCUCCUUCAUACAUAUCCUGUUAUAGCUUGGAUAUAUGCUACUCGUACUCCUUUCUUCUCUAAAAUCCUCCAAAGAAUGUCUCUUGGGACCCUAUCAUACGCUUUUUCCAAAUCUAUAAAGACCAUGUGUAAAUCCUUUUUCCCAUCUCUAUAUCUUUCCAUCAAUCUUCGUAAGAGAUAGAUUGCCUCCAUGGUUGAGCGCCCUGGCAUGAACCCGAAUUGGUUGUCCGAAACCCGUGUCUCUUGCCUCAAUCUAUGCUCAAUGACUCUCUCCCAGAGCUUCAUUGUAUGACUCAUUAGCUUAAUACCCCUAUAGUUCAUGCAAUUUUGUACGUCGCCCUUAUUCUUGUAGAUAGGCACCAAAGUGCUCGUUCGCCACUCAUUUGGCAUUUUCUUCUUCGUUUUCAAAAUCCUAUUGAAAAGGUCAGUGAGCCAUGUUAUACCUGUCUCUCCCAAAACUUUCCACACUUCGAUUGGUAUAUAUCGUCUGGGCCUACUGCUUUUCUAUGCUUCAUCUUCUUCAAAGCUACAACCACUUCUUCCUUCCGGAUUCUACGAUAAAAAGAGUAGUUUCUACACUCUUCUGAGUUACUCAACUCCCCUAAAGAAGCACUCCUUUCAUGUCCUUCAUUGAAAAGAUUAUGAAAAUAACCUUUCCAUCUGUCUUUAACCGCGUUCUCUGUAGCAAGAACCUUUCCAUCCUCAUCCUUGAUGCACCUCACUUGGUUUAGGUCCCUUGUCUUCUUUUCCCUUGCUCUAGCUAGUUUAUAGAUAUCCAACUCUCCUUCUUUGGUAUCUAGUCGCUUAUACAUAUCGUCAUAAGCCGCUAACUUAGCUUCUCUCACAGCUUUCUUCGCCUCUUGCUUCGCUUUUCUAUACCUUUCACCAUUUUCAUCGGUCCUAUCCUUGUAUAAGGCUUUACAACAUUCCUUCUUAGCCUUCACCUUUGUUUGUACCUCCUCAUUCCACCACCAAGAUUCCUUUUGGUGUGGGGCAAAGCCCUUGGACUCUCCUAAUACCUCUUUUGCUACUUUUCGGAUACAACUAGCCAUGGAAUCCCACAUUUGGUUAGCUUCCCCCUCUCUAUCCCACACACACUGGGUGAUUACUUUCUCUUUGAAAAUGGCUUGUUUUUCUUCUUUUAGAUUCCACCAUCUAGUCCUUGGGCACUUCCAAGUCUUGUUCUUUUUUUCUCACUCUUUUGAUAUGUACAUCCAUCACCAACAAGCGAUGUUGAUUAGCCACGCUCUCUCCUGGUAUAACUUUGCAAUCCUUACAAGUUAUACGAUCCCCUUUCCUCAUUAGAAGAAAAUCUAUUUGUGUUUUUGACGACCCACUCUUGUAGGUGAUCACAUGUUCUUCUCUCUUCUUAAAGAAAGGUGUUGGCUAAGAAGAGAUCAUAUGCCAUUGCAAAAUCCAAGAUAGCUUCCCCAUCCUCGUUUCUCUCCCCAAAACCAUGGCCACCAUGAAAACCUCCAUAGUUGCCUGUCUCCCUGCCCACGUGUCCAUUUAAAUCUCCUCCUAUAAAUAACUUCUCCGUCUGAGCAAUUCCUUGCACCAAGUCUCCAAGGUCUUUCCCAAAAUUUCUCCUUCGAACUCGUAUCCAACCCUACUUGAGGUGCGUACGCACUAAUCACAUUGAUAAGUUCUUGUCCUAUUACAAUCUUGAUUGCCAUGAUUCUAUCUCCUACCCUCUUGACAUCUACAACAUCUUGUGUCAAGGUCUUGUCCACGAUGAUGCCAACCAACCGUUUCACCGUUUCUCGUUCUAUUUGUGCCCGAAUACCAUAAGUUUAAACCCUGAGUUUUCUAGAUCCUUUGCCUUACGACCAACCCACUUAGUUUCUUGUAGGCACAUAAUAUUUAUCCUUCUCCUCACCAUAACUUCUCACUACUUCCAUAGAUUUUCCCGUUAAGGUUCCUAUAUUCCACGUUCCUAAACGCAUUUUGCUCUCUUGAACUCUACCCUUCUGUCCUAGCUUCUUCACCCUUCCCCCGUCUAAUAGGAUCAAAGUACUUCUUUUGUGUGUCCCGUGUAAAGUUGAUAGGAGCAUAUGCUCCCAAACAACUUUGAGUGGAGUCGUUCGAAAAGAAGUUUCUAUAGCCCCCUUGCUCAUUUAACACUGCAUCCGGGUGCCGAUGGAGAUACAGCGACCCUUGCUCACUUAUCACUGUGCUCAGGCCACACAGCGCGCCACUUACGGGUGACGCCCUAGCUUUAGCGCGAUUUCGUUCUGGAUUCAUUUUCAUAAAGAUUCGACGUGAUCAUGGAGUGCCGGCUGUCGACUACCUGACGCCCUCCCCCUCCUCCUUUAUCCGGGCUUGGGACCGGCAAUGUAAGAUAAACUUACACGGCGGAGUUGAAAAAUGAAUAAACGGUUAUGUACAAAAAAAAAAAAAAAAAAAAAAUGUCGAACUAUGUUUCUAAGAAUUUUAUUUACAAAUUAAUUCAUGAAAAAGAAAAGACUUUUUAGCCAUAAUGGUUCCUGCGAUUUGCAUAAUAAUAGAACCCUUGUUCUAACCUUUACUUAUAUGCUGAUAAUUCCUCUUGUAUUACUUACAAACUUCUGUUACAAAUCAUAACCUUGCAUUUGCACAAAUAUCCAGUAUUAUACCAGAUUGCAAGCUAAGGUAGUUACACGACAUUUUCCCAACUAAUCAUCAACUAACAACCACAACAUUCAACCAAUGAUUCUAAGACACUUGUUAGCUAACAAUAUCAUCAUAUCCCAACCUUGUACAAAUAUCACCAACAAUAUCCUAUCACAUAACAUAUCACUUUGGUCCCUGAGAUUGAAAAUCAAUAGAAAUGGUCCCUGAGAUUGUUCACCAUCCAUUAUUUUGGUCCUUCCGUCAAAAACUCUGUUAAUUGUCCCAGAGCUCUUGGCCGGAAGUUUGGGCAAUUUUCAAAGCUUCGUAACUCAAUCGUUUCUUAACCAAAUUCAACCCAUAUUGUAUCAAAAUGAAGAUAGGAAAGUGCAGAAAAAGAUUAUACCUAUUUGGAAGCCCAAUGGUUGCCAGAGAUGGUUGAAAAAUAGCUUGAAAUGUGACUGGUCCGGGGGAAAACUAAAAAACUUGCCAGAAACUAGGUAAAUUUUAAACGUUCAUAACUUCUUCAAUACUCAACGAAAUUGAGUGAUUCAAAAAUAAAAAUCAUACUUCUCAAUGAGACAAUGAAGAGAAUGGUAUCUUUCUCGAUGGCUAAUUUGCCGCAGUUUGACUGAAAACAGCUCGAAAGUGGUUAACUCGAGACAAAGACAGCCACUUUUAAGCUGUUUUUCAGCCAAAUCACGAUGAUUUAGCCAUUUCUAAUGGUACCAUUCUCUUCCUCGCGUCAAGAGUAUGAUUUUCAUUUUUGAAUCACUUGAUUUCGUUAAGUAUUGAAGAAGUUAUGAACGUUUAAAAUUUACCCAAUUUCCGGCGAGUGUUCCAGUUUUUCGGCAGACUAGUCAUAUUUCAGGCUAUUUUCUGGUCACCUCCAGCAACCAUUGGGCUUCCAAAUUGGUAUAAUCUUGUUCUACACUUUCCUAUCUUCAUUUUGAUAUAUUAUGGAUCGAAUUUGGUUAAGAAACAAUUGAGUUAUAAAGCUUUGAAAAUUGCCCAAACUUUUGGCUAAGAGCUCCGGGACACUUAACGGAGUUUUUAACAGAAUAACCAAAAUAAUGGAUGUUGGACAAUCUUAGGGACCACUUCUAUUGAUUUUCAAUCUCAAUGACCAAAGUGAUAUGUUAUGCAAAUCUCAGGGACUAUUUUGGCUAAAAAGCCAAAAGAAAAAUAGUGCACCAAAUGAAUCAUCAGACAGAAGAUACGUCUGACAGUACUAGCAUGACUCGAUCUACUAAUACAAGACUAUCUGAACAGUGCAAAUUAAAACAUAAUGUCUUUUAUUGCUUUUACUUGUGACUCAAGGUACAGAUUAUUCAAGUGUAACAAAUAAUUGAUGGCAUCAUAAAUGUUGCUGCUAAGCCUGCUAUGCCAUGGAAGAUUCGAUGUUAUCAGAAUAAGUUCUGUAUACGUUUACAACUAACAAUGUACCGCAGACCAUUCUGAACGCAGCUAUAUAUAUGGGUUUCUGUCUCUAGGCCUUGCUAUAUGUGUCAAUGCCUUGCACUGCAAGACGUGGUGAUGAAAUAUUGAAAAAGUAAUUAGACCUGAUUCUCCACAUCAAAAAAAGACGAGUACUGGGGGAGCUUGAGUUUAUAAUGACGAAGAAUAACUAAAGGCGGCGUGUGGCUUGACCCUGAUUCCAUGCAAUUCAAAGGACGCAAACAAGGGGGGCAAUAAGCAGUGCUAGCAUUCUCACAGUUAAACUCCACCUGAUUGCACUUCUCAUCAAGUUCAUCAAAUUCCUUGGCAUUCUGAAGGGAAGUGUCAAUUCAAUUAAGUUCAAAAUUUGGACAACAUCAAGCACCAUAAAAAAGCAAUCAUCCGUAGUUACUACAACAAAUGCACCCUAGGAAAUGCUUACACGACUUUAUUCAAAGCUAGUUAACAGAUUGUUUCAAGGAACAUGCUAUAAUGUUCAAGUGUUGUUUCCCUCACAACAAUCCAGUGAAUAUACAAAAACAAUUUUAGCAAUAUACCUGAAUAGAUAAAAGGUGGAAUGCAGGAAGAAAACGCAUCUUGCAGUAAUCAUUAAACAUCAAUGUCAGCACUAGAAGUGGAAUUGUGGAAAAGGAUGCGGCCGGCUUUGAUUUCAGUCCAUAGAGACCAAUCAUAGUUAUUUGCAUGAGAAUGAUUGCAACGAGAAUAUAAUGAUUGAUGUAAGGCCAAUACUGUCCACACGUAUCAUAAACAGUCUCAUAAACAUUUUCAAUCUGCAAAAGAACCGAAGUUUAUAACACAUACAGUUGAUAUCAAAGUGCACAAAAUGCUCAGCUCUGGUGAAAAAUAAAUUUUAGCAAUUGUCUUUAAAGAUAGAGAUACUAAUUAGUAAUUUAUAACAUUUUAUAAUUGAACACAAGCAUCUAACUCCCGGGGCAGACCUCAACCCAAAGGCGCAAGACGGACUGCCUGUUUUGAUGACCCAUGUUCCCCUUCUCGCCUCAGAUUCCAGAGAAAGUCUACUUUAAGGUUGAUAGGUUAUUGUUGGCCCACGCCCUAACUUAAACUUUUGCCACCGGUUGAUUUCUAUGAGCUACAACAAAUAACGGUUUCAGCAGCUACUAAAUGAAAGUAUUGAAAAGCUUGAAGCCAAUGAAUAUUCUGGGAUCAGAACUUUAAGUUGCAUCUAAAUGCAAAAAUGUUUCUAAGAUAAUUACUUGACACCCUAUAUACGUAUUAUUCUCAACCGCUUUUUGAAAAAAUGAAAGUCUUGAUCUCUAUGCUUCUCCUUAAUUUUGUUUAGCUUAUGAAUGUUAAUUGUGUUCGCGGCAGGAAUUCCCGUCGGGGGUGUUUCCUGGCCGACGAGCACACAGCUCCCCUGGAGGUUCGGCGUCGGUUGAGGGCUACUGUCGGGUUUCUGCUUUCUUGUCGGGCUUUGUCGGGCAAGUCUCGUCGGGCAAGACUCGUCGGGCAAAACUCUUCGGGCAAGGCGGAAAGAGAAGGACAGCGUUAACUUUGAGAGGUGCCUUUGUGGGGCCUUAGGUGUAGGCCUUGAGGCUCACAAUCAAGGUUAACAUUUUGGUGCUCAGGCGUGCCACUGCCAUCUUCAUUAUGGCAGAUGUCGAAUAGAUGCCAAGUUUUAGUUGUGAAUAUGCAUAUGCCCGAGAAACCGUGUUAGAUAUAACAGGUGCCUUUGUGGGGCCUUAGGUAUAGGCCUUGAGGCUUCCUGUCAAACUAAACCAAUGCUUGAGCAUAUUAUAUUUGGUCUUUAUGGUUGUCGGGGUCUUAUAACUAUUAUAUUUCUGAUUAUCCGAGUCUGAGAGGUAGAGCGAACCCAAAUAGGUGCCUUUGUGGGGCCUUAGGUGUAGGCCUUGAGGCUUCCCAUUAGAGUCCGUUCUUACUCAAACCAUCUAGACCGCAGAAUAGAAUAAAUCCAAAUAAGUGCCUUUGUGGGGCCUUAGGUAUAGGCCUUGAGGCUUCCUAUCAUAAUCCAUUCUAUACUUAAGCGUUCUAUAAUAAUCAUGAUAUAAUAGAAAUAAAACCAAGAGGUAGGUCGAUUACUUGCGCCCCAAGUAACUUCGGACUUCUCGUUUAUCAAGGAUUGUCGUGGAUGGGUUAAGUCCACAUAAAGUUCUUUUUUAUGCCUUGAGGCCAAGGACUUUUAAACUAAUCAGAUUUACAUGCCUGAGGGCUUAGGACUUGGAUUGGAUUUAAACACUGAAGAUAUAUUCAAAUCGGAUCCAAGUACUGAGAACGCUUUGUCAUUGUGAUUUUACUAGAAACAACUUGCAUAUAACUGGAAAUAUACAACAUAUUGCUAGACUUUAAAGAAAGAGAAGACAAAGACAGAGCAAAGCAGGUCGGGCAAGAUUAAACCUUAUCAAUUAAGGCUGAUCGUCUUGCAGGUCCCUAUCUUUGUAGUUCUGUCAAAGGUCUGAAAGCUUAGAGGGGGAGAGGGGAAAGGAGAAUACAAAGGGUGAAUCGAUACUACAACUUGUUCGAAACAAGGUAGCAGAGCUAUUACAGGGGUUGGGAGAAAAGAUUAUCCCGCGGGGGAUGAAGGCUUGGGCUGACUACAGCUUCGUUUUGAAAGGAAAAUCUGGCUUUUUGAGCAGAGUUUGUGCUUUUGUUUGUUUGAUUGAGUGUCCUUAUUCCUGUCUUCUCUUCCUCCUUUUAUAGACGACUCGGUUUGGCUCCUGUAGCGACAGCUUUGCCCGAAUGCGGUCUGAGGGUGAUGACUCAUCAGCUUUAUUACAUGUAAUGCCACCAUAAAGUACUUUAUGGGCUGUGCAGUCUGAUCAGUCUACACCACUUAGCCUUGGUUAGGUAGGCAAGUGGCCCUUAUGAAUUGUAUCAAGUCAGAAAGGGCCCUUUCCUGCUUUCCCAAGUUUUGGCCGGGCCUUGAUCUUCUAUUCCUUUAGGCCUCCUUUUGGGCCGACUCCAUCCGUGGGCCAAAAAUCAAGUUUUAAUCCAAACAAAUUGGGAGAAGAAAGAACAAAAGCACAACUACAAAAGGGACCAAAAGAAUGUGGAAGCCGUGAAUUUACAAGAACAGACAUUCAUAGGAACAAUAACAAUGACUUGAAUAAUAAAUGCAAAGUUGCCAAAGUUAACCUGGUUUAUAUACACCGCAUAGCCGAGCAAGAAGUAACCAAUCAAAAAUGGGAGCAUAAGUGGUGCCACAACGGCAUAUACUGUACCAAUCAGCACGGACAGCGAGACCACAGGAAUGAUUCUGAAGUAAGGUAAUGAAUAAAGAUAAGGAGUCUUCUCUUUUCCACGGCCAUAUGUACAGGACCUUAUAGCAUCCCAGCAAAGUAAUCCUGGUUGGAGGAUCUCCAAAGAAAACCCCGACAGCCCAUCUGUCAAAGUAUAUGUCACAAAGAAAUCUGCCUGAAACAUUAGAAAUCAAGCUUUAUUGACCAAAUCAGUAUUUUCAGAAUUAUUUAAAAACGAUAAGUUGAAAACAAUAAAGAAAAGAAAGUAUGCAACACAACAGAAAAUUAUCCAAGAGUCCACAACUAUUUAAAACUUAUACAAGGAAAAGAAAAAAGCAACACUGAACUAGCUUUGGAAAUUAUGAAGAGCGUGAAUUAAAACGAAACGUAAACAGAAUAUUACAAAAGUAUUAAGACCAACUCACUUGAGCAGAGACAGCUCUAGCAAAGUGAUUGGGGAUAUCUUUCGGAUGAGUAAAAGAUUCGCCAAUUUCAUCUAUUAAAGAGCCAGAUAACAAGCUCCAAAAGAAGACGUUUCCAACUAGGAAAUAUAAAACCAUGUUGCACGCUUUUAUCUCCUCCCUGCUCUUUGAGAUACAGCCUGAUAGUUUAGCCAUUCCGAGCAUUGUAAAUGGAACAAUGUAGAUAAACAAAUUCAGAACGGCACUCGGAAGAUACCCUGUUAUGACAGAGCUUAACCCUGAUCUGUACAUAUUAGCAUUAUCUAAGAUGUCAAUUCAUAAAAACUAUAACCAAAGCAGUACAAAGUUUGCUUAUAGAAGCUCUGAAUCCAGAACCAUGAAUAUUCAAUUCUCUAAUUUAUGGAACUGUUUAUCAUUCGGAUCUUUAUACUGGUCCUUUCAAUGUUUAAUUUAAUGUUCCAAAAGAUAUGAAUUAAUAGUCAGAUUGCUGGAUUAAUUGAGGCAUAUAUUCCACAAGUCAAAGAUUCAACAUGCACGCAUGAUAUUCAAGCAAAAAGAACGGCAAGAAAAUCUUACAUCAACUGUAAAGCCAUGGCAGGGGGAAACCAUUUCUUUAACUUUUUAAAUUUGGCAAUUCCCUGGACGGCAGUGACUGGGAUAGCAAAGAAAAUUGUAAGAAGGGAGGCUGCAACAAUAACUCCAAAAUUGCAGAGUGGCAAAACUCGGACUGGGAUUGCCAAAUUUCUCCAUGAUACAUCCCUGGGUUCUGAAGCAUCGUCAGUGAUCCAAAGAAGUGGAUUUGAGUGCUGCUGGGAGUGGAUAACUAGGGCUGCACCCAACCGAGACUUGAAUGUAACAAAAGCAACAGGCAACUCCUACAAAUAUAAAAAGCUCGGGAUGGUUUUUUUGCGUACUUAUGGAGUAUAGUUUGCUGAGUUAUUUGAUAGAACUUAAAUGUAUACAAUUCUGAGCUAUCAAUAUGGGAAGAUCUACAGAAAAUCAUGGACCGAAGAUCUCUUCCCUCUCGUCGUGAUCGAACAUCAAUUUGCCUAUUUACCUAAUCAUGAUUUUUUUUAGUCCUAUUUUUGCAGAUGAAUAAGACGGUGCUGAUUCUGAUGUAUUCUAUUUCUAUGACAUUGAGUCUACUUUUUUCUUUCGGAGAUGGUUGUUUGCCCUCUCAUCCCAUGCCCUUUCCAUCCCCUCCUAUUUUCUGUGAUCACGGUUAAGCCAUGUUAACAUUUUAUAUUGAUUUUUUUAUAGAAAUAAUAAAACAAAAAGUAAUGGGAAUAUAAAAUAUUAACGUGGCUUAACCGUGAUCACAAAAUAAGAGGGGAUGGGAAGAACAUGGGAUGGGGAGGGCAGACAAUCCAUCUCCUUUCUUUCACUUGACCAAACAUCUCACGACACGAGCUGACGACAGCUAUGCAGUAUGAAAGUAAGUACCAUCCCAUUAGGCUUAUACUGCUCGCCUUUGUUUAAUAUUUUCAUUCAACACCAAUACAAACUCCAACUACACAAAAAAGGAAGGCUCGCUAUAGAAGCUAAAAGUAGCUUCUAGUAGAGUAGUCGGCCGGUUGGACUUCUUUCGAUCUAGGCGUCUUAGCAGAGCCCUUUCCUAUUGAGGAAGGCGAAGAGUAGCCCAGCCGCACCCCCAAUACAUCCCCGCUAAUCCGGUCUCUUCCCAUGGGGAGGAAGCAGGUCCAUCUAGGAGGAGAUUCUGUUUGCUCGAUUGAGCGCCGCCUUUUGGCGAAAUUUGAUUUUCCCGAAGCUGAGGACAUCCAAUUUGCCUGUAUUAAGGCCCAAGAUUUUUUCGAGAUCAUGGUCGAAAUUGUCCAACAUAUGGCAGGCCUUGAUCUAGUGGGGGAUUGAAUGGGGUGCAGGGCUCGGGCCCUCUACAAUCCGCGUAAUGAAAAGGUCUAGCUGGGUUAGAUUCCCAUCUCCCUCUUGUUGCUUAGGCAACUUAAACCCUUAACAUAGUGAGGUGUGGAGCGAAAGGCCUAACUCCACAACUGUCAAUAUAUACUGCUGGUGAGGACUGAAGGGCGUCAAAGGGAUAUCCAUAUGACGUUGGAUACUAGGCCCAAGUUGUGGAGUACAGAGUCUCUAUCGACAUCAACAAAAGCCAAGUCAAAGGAAAGAGCAAUGCCCGCAUUAAAAAAAGGGAUUCAUCUCGUUUCUUCUCUAAACAAAUUGAAGAACCUAAUGGAUCGAAUGAAUGGAAGAAGCUUAUGUGCUACGUAGCUGAGGUCUACUUUAUAGUAGGCUCCAACUUAAUGAUUGCCCAAGAAUUAGACCAGAAGCGGUUUUGUUUACUUUUUCGUUGAAUAGGACACCCACCAUUUACGAGUACAAAGUAUAAUUGACAAGCGGGGAGGAAACAUUUCACUGCUAGCUACUAAGAACCUAACAGAACUCUUUUUUCAGAGAGUAACGAAAAAUAAGCAAUUAAUUAAUAAGGCCUAAGCCUCCUAAACAGCUCAUCCACUUGCUAUAAAUAACAAGGCCUGUGGAACUGAUAAAAAGCACCAAAACCAAAUGGUACGUUUGGAUUAAGCACUUUUGCACAGUUAGUAUAUCCAGUGGUAGCAUUAGAAAGGCUUAAUUCUCAAUGCAGAUUCGUGUUGCUUUUCAAGGGGCUCUUCUGGGUCUCUGGUUCUGCUUCUUUGCUGCAAGCUUCUGCUAUAGCAAUGGAGAGACCAUUGAGGUAACUGGUGAACAAGCAGCAGCCAAAGCUUUUUCAGGUAAUAUAUAUACUUAUAUAGUUUCCUUUUAAGAACCAAAGUACUCUAAAAUGACAACCAUUUAUUGAGUAGUUAAAUUGUGUCGGAUUUGCAUGGUUUUUUGCAACGUUGAUUUUUGAGAGAAGACCUUUAUACUAAACAGUUCAUAAUAUUGAUACAACGUUGAAUAGGGCCUUAGUUGAACCUCCCUAUACAUGCAUGCAUAUAUAAACAAAACAAUUUCAAAACUAAUCUUAGUUUCCUUUUCCAUUAUAUAAGACUCAUAUGUAAUCAUAGAUUAGUCUAAUGUGUGAUUAAGUAGUAGUUAUUUGAUGAUCAUUUUGUAUAUAUUCUUGGUUAUUAGUUAAUCAUAUAUAUUUGUUUUGCUCCUCAUACGUAAUAAUCUUAUGCACGUCUCUGUGUCUAUACUAUGUCCAUAAUGAAGAGUUGCAAAGAGCAGAAGCUGCAGAAGAGAAAUUUAAAUUGCCUCCACACAAGCCAUUCUUCAAGAAGCCGCCUCCACCUAAGAUCUUUCCUCCAAAGCCCUUUUUCAAGCCACUCCCUCCACCAGCUCCAGUCUAAAAGAUUCCUCCCUACAAAAAGGGUCCUCCACCGGUUCUGGUUGUGGAAGAAAAGCCAUUUCUGAAGAAGCCAAUUUUCCAUCCACUUCCAAAAUUCAAGAAGCCACUUCCUCCAC
rnacentral:lncRNA from 1 species